CGCGUAGGCGGGUCCGCAAGUCGAUCGUGAAAUCCUUCGGCUCAACUGAAGGGGGUCGGUCGAUACUGCGGGUCUUGAGGGAUGCAGAGGAGACUGGAAUUCCCGGUGUAGCGGUGAAAUGUGUAGAGAUCGGGAGGAACACCGGUGGCGAAGGCGGGUCUCUGGGCAUCUCCUGACGCUGAGGCGCGAAAGCGUGGGGAGCAAACGGGAUUAGAUACCCCGGUAGUCCACGCGGUAAACGAUGACGACUAGGUGUGGGGGGGUUUAGGCCUUUCCGUGCCGCAGCUAACGCAUUAAGUCGUCCGCCUGGGGAGUACGGCCGCAAGGUUGAA
rnacentral:rRNA from 1 species